rnacentral:rRNA from 1 species
GAUGAACGCUGGCGGCGUGCCUAAUACAUGCAAGUCGAGCGAACGGACGAGAAGCUUGCUUUUCUGAUGUUAGCGGCGGACGGGUGAGUAACACGUGGAUAACCUACCUAUAAGACUGGGAUAACUUCGGGAAACCGGAGCUAAUACCGGAUAAUAUUUUGAACCGCAUGGUUCAAAAGUGAAAGACGGUCUUGCUGUCACUUAUAGAUGGAUCCGCGCUGCAUUAGCUAGUUGGUAAGGUAACGGCUUACCAAGGCAACGAUGCAUAGCCGACCUGAGAGGAUGAUCGGCCACACUGGAACUGAGACACGGUCCAGACUCCUACGGGAGGCAGCAGUAGGGAAUCUUGCGCAAUGGGCGAAAGCCUGACGGAGCAACGCCGCGUGAGUGAUGAAGGUCUUCGGGUCGUAAAACUCUGUUAUUAGGGAAGAACAUAUGUGUAAGUAACUGUGCACAUCUUGACGGUACCUAAUCAGAAAGCCACGGCUAACUACGUG